UCAUGUUUUCCCGGGAAAACCCUUCUUCCCCUCUCCAGCUUUCUCCGGGAAAAUUUUCCGAUCCGUUGCAAACCAUUCAUCAUCUUCCGUUCUGUAACAGAUCUCGACGACCUGCGAGGCUGCGAUGGAGAUUCGCAUCGGAAGAGGCUACGCGUGGGCCAUCGCUGCCGGAUUCAUGGCCGCUCUCGCCGCCAUCUCCGCCAAGUUCUUCUCCUCUCAGGUCAUUAAGUAUGGUUUUGUCAUACUGUUCAAUGUUACAAUGUGGGGAUGUUAUGUCAACAGCCUAAAGAGUCUCUCGUCUCUUCAAGCCACAGUUACGAACUUUGCGACAAAUUUCCUCACUUCUGGAUUAGCUGGGUUCUUUUUGUUUGAUGAGUCAUUGAGAUACCAGUGGUUUGCAGGUGCACUUCUUAUAGUGAUUGGUGUGCUAAUUCUCAGCAAAUCAAGUAUUGAGAAGAAAAGUAGAGUUGAUUGAAAGUUCUCAGUUUAUGAGAGAUACCAUACGCCAUGCUUGAAGGUUGCCCCCUUUUGCUACAGGCAACAGUUGCCCUGCUUCUCUGGUGACUUAUAAAUGAGAAGUUACAUUCUCGUGCCACUCUCAAGGAAGGAAAAAAAGGAAGCUGAGAAUUGAGGAUAGAAGAGUGUUUCCUUCCUGGCCGGUCAUUCCGCGUGAAUGAUCACUACUUGCUGCGACUGGCAGCACCAAGGUUGCUAUGUUGUUAAUGCCAGGAUUGCUAUGUUACUGUUAAUGGUGACGGUAAGAUAUAGCUACAAAGCAAGCUGCAAACGAGUAGGCUAAAACAUUGGUAAGUGAACCUUAAUUUAGGCGCUCUGGAAAGGCUGAAUGUGUCGUGCGCGCUUUGAGAGCAUAAAGCUAAGACCCAACAAAGAUCAUCUUUACAUUAAUAUAAAUCAAGGUCUUAAUGUGAGCUUAUACCGACAUGUGCUAUGACGUAAUAGAAAACUUGCGGAGGAUUUAAUGGA